UACAGAGGGUGCGAGCGUUGUUCGGAAUUAUUGGGCGUAAAGGGCGCGUAGGCGGUGCGGUAAGUCACCUGUGAAAUCUCCCGGCUCAACCGGGAGCUUGCAGGCGAAACUGCCGUGCUGGAGUGUGGGAGAGGUGCGUGGAAUUCCCGGUGUAGCGGUGAAAUGCGUAGAUAUCAAGAGGAACACCUGAGGUGAAGACGGGUUGCUGGGCCAACACUGACGCUGAUGCGCGAAAGCUAGGGGAGCGAACGGG
rnacentral:rRNA from 1 species